AUAUUUUUUGAAUUUUUGAUUUCUCGAGAAUGUUGGCUUUGGUCGAGCAACUUUUAGUGUGGAUUAAUAUGAGAAUCUGCUAUAUUAUCAUGCUGAUCCAGCUUCACCACUUGCUUGGAGUAUUGAUCACUAGUUUCCUUGCUCAGCAGCUCUACUGUGCAAAAUACGAAUCUCUGUCACUGCGGCCUUGUUCCAGUUUUGAAGACAUCCUGGAUUGACAAUAACCCGGUAUGAGGUUUUGAAGCUGUCGAAUGUACUUGAGAAAUGAGCGUAAGGGCCGUGGGUAUUAUCGUUGGCAUGAUCCACCAGUUGAAGGGAGAUCGAAGGGUAUAAUACCGGGUUUGCUCAGGAAGCUAUCAUGUCGAUCUCUUGGAGAUUAUCAAGUGAUUGUCGUGAAUUUGAAAUAGGUGUUGAGAUUGAAGUAUCUAGAUGAGAUGGUCCCUGUUAGUGAUUGAAAAGCAAAGUCGACGACAAAGCCCAGCAUUUUUGCCGGUUUAUUAUGGAGACAACUCAACCACCUUGGGUAAUUAUUGAUUGAAUUCUGCUUGUGAGGUUUUGAUUCAUACUUCAGUGGAAUUUUUCGUAAUUUUUUUUGAAUUUUUGAUUUCUCGAGAAUGUUGGCUUUGGUCGAGCAACUUUUAGUGUGGAUUAAUAUGAGAAUCUGCUAUAUUAUCAUGCUGAUCCAGCUUCACCACUUGCUUGGAGUAUUGAUCACUAGUUUCCUUGCUCAGCUCUACUGUGCAAAAUACAGAUCUCUGUCACUGCGGCCUUGUUCCAGUUUUGAAGACAUCCUGGAUUGACAAUAACCCGAUAUGAGGUUUUGAAACUG